UCAAAGGAUUAAGGGCAUUCCGGACUUUCCUGUAGUGAACCCAUUCGACUUGAUCACCAGCAGCAUCUUUCUGGGCUCUGCAAGUAAGAAGAAUAUGAAUAUCACAUCUAAAAUGAAUAUUUUAGGACCCACCUAAAUGAAUAUAUUUUCCUGAUCCAGUGUCCAGAGUCUCCUGGGUUUGAUGGGAGUAGUAUUCUUGGAAAAUCUUUGCUUCCUUUUUUUUGCAGCGGGCGUGUUAUUCACACGGUUGCACUCUUCAUCGUUGAAAAACUCCUUACAGCAUUCAUCCAAAAAAACAGAAUUGUAUGUCUUAUCUACGCUGUUUAUCGAGUUGUGUUCGGUCGUCAGCAUAAACCGACUUUCCUAAACCGAUGUUAGAAAUAAAUUACAAAAUAAAUUAAUAUUUGAGAAAAAUAUUUAUGAAAUAAAUCUUACGCGAAGACUGAUCGGUCUGCUCAUCCUGGA